AUUGAACGCUGGCGGCAUGCCUUACACAUGCAAGUCGAACGGCAGCGGACCUUCGGGUGCCGGCGAGUGGCGAACGGGUGAGUAAUAUAUCGGAACGUACCUUUCAGUGGGGGAUAACGUAGCGCAAGUUACGCUAAUACCGCAUAUUCUGUGAGCAGGAAAGCAGGGGAUCGCAAGACCUUGCGCUGAUUGAGCGGCCGAUAUCAGAUUAGCUAGUUGGUGAGGUAAAGGCUCACCAAGGCGACGAUCUGUAGCGGGUCUGAGAGGAUGAUCCGCCACACUGGAACUGAGACACGGUCCAGACUCCUACGGGGA
rnacentral:rRNA from 1 species